AUGAACGCUGGCGGCGUGCUUAACACAUGCAAGUCGAACGCAGCAUUUAGGACAGAUUACUUCGGUUUGAAGUUCUUUAUGACUGAGUGGCGGACGGGUGAGUAACGCGUGGGUAACCUGCCUUGUACUGGGGGAUAGCAGCUGGAAACGGCUGGUAAUACCGCAUAAGCGCACAAUGUUGCAUGACAUGGUGUGAAAAACUCCGGUGGUAUAAGAUGGACCCGCGUCUGAUUAGCUAGUUGGUGAGAUAACAGCCCACCAAGGCGACGAUCAGUAGCCGACCUGAGAGGGUGACCGGCCACAUUGGGACUGAGACACGGCCCAGACUCCUACGGGAGGCAGCAGUGGGGAAUAUUGCACAAUGGAGGAAACUCUGAUGCAGCGACGCCGCGUGAGUGAAGAAGUAAUUCGUUAUGUAAAGCUCUAUCAGCAGGGAAGAUAGUGACGGUACCUGACUAAGAAGCUCCGGCUAAAUACGU
rnacentral:rRNA from 1 species